GUGACUGCUCGAUUUGGCAACACAUAUACUAAAAUUGGAAUGAUACAGAGAAGAUUAGCAUGGCCCCUACCCAACGAUGACACACAAAUUCAUGAAGUGUUCCAUAUUUAA
ensembl:snRNA U6 U6 spliceosomal RNA